rnacentral:lncRNA from 1 species
GAAAGAAGGGUCGCCUGGCAUAGUUGCUUGGCCAAUACAGAAUUGACCAAAGCUGAUUCACCCUCAGGCACUUAGAGGUCAAAGUGCACCGCGUGGCCCUUUGAGGUGGCUUCAUCCGUCGAUGCCACCAGAGCUUUCUCCCGAUCUCUUAUCGACGGCCCCAUAUUCGAGAGCAAGGGGAAGCUCGAGCUCGACUGUGCCCUGGCUGAAGGAGCGACCGGUGCAGCCAUAGAUUGCUCGGGUUCUCCUACCUCAACCCGAACCUCCUCAAAUGGCGGGACCAUCGAUGUUUCUCUAGUGGUCCCCCUUACCGCCCUCUCCUCGGACGAUGCAACAGGAAGCACUAUCGGAGCCAACAGCACCA